rnacentral:lncRNA from 1 species
CCAGGCUGGUCUUCAGCUCCUGAUCUCAGGUGAUCCACCCGCUUCAGCCUCCCAAAUUGCUGGGAUUACAGGCUUGUUUGGACUGAGUUCCAGAUCUGGGCUGUCAUGGAACAUAACAGGGACCCUUCAUGGGGACAGCAAGAAGGUUCACCGACCCAAUUCAGAGGAAGGAAGAGCCUGGCCUUCAAAAUUACUAUGACCAUCAGAAUGCCCUAGGAGAUCAAAGAAAUAACGGAGUGGGUGUGAGACCUUUUACAAAUGUGUGCACUCAAGCAGUGCAAAGGCAAACCUCCUGGACCUGUCUACAAGCAACAUUGUAACAUAUUUCUGAGCCCAUCACAUGGAUAAUGUGACCCUUCUCUUUUUGUCCUGCCCCAAGUGAAGAUUGUGACAUGUCACCAGGCCCUUUGUCUAGGCAAUAUGACUCUUCUCUCCUGUCUGGGCCCUGAUUACAAGGGGGAUUGUGACAAUCACUGGGCCCAUCAUGUAGAUAAUAAGAGUUUCUCUUCCUGCCUGGGCCUUUUCUACAGAAAAGAUUAAGACAUCACUGGGCCAAGCACCCACAUGAUGUCACUCGCCUGCCUGCAUUCUGCCUACAGUGGGUAUUGUGACAUAUCCCUGGCACAGAACCAAGGUAACGUGACUCACCUACCUGGUUCCUGCCCACUGAUGGGAUUGUGACAUAUACCUAGGUCCAGCUCACAGGCAUGAUGAUAACUGUCAUACGUGGACCCAGCCAAUAAGAGAUUUUUGCUCUUAGGCUUAUUACAACAGAGUCUCGCUCUGUCACUCAGGCUGGAGUGCAGUGGCAUGAUCUCAGCCCGCUGCAACCUUCGCCUUCCAGGUUCAAGCAGUUCUCCUGCCUCAGCUCUUGGACAAAACUUCAGCACUCCUGCUAGGGUGUGUCUGCCCUACUAAGACACUGUGCGCAGGUGGAGUUGAGGCUCUUAUGUAUGGAUCCUGUCCACUGUUGAGAUUGUGAAUUGCAUGUGUAGACUCAACUCACAGGAGGUGUUGACUCACAAACCUCCAGCUGGGACAUGUGCAGGAUUAGAAAUUUUAUUUCUGGAUCUUUCUUCAGAAGGCGUUGUAACAUCUCACUAAGCCCAGCACUCAGGCGAUGUGGCUUUCCUGCUAUGGCACUGCACACAAGAAGAAUGUUGACAUAUUCCUGGCCCAGAAUUCAGGUGGAGAUGGAGCUCUCAUGCACGGAUCCUGUCCGAUGUUAAGACUGUGUCUCGUGUAUUUGGAUGCAACUCACAAGAGGUGUUGACUCUCAGACCUAAAGCUGGGAAAUAUGUAGAAUUGUGAAAUUUAUUCCUGGUCCUUCCCGCAGGUGUGAUUGUGGCGUAUAUGUUCACACAGCACUUAAUUUAUUUUACAAUUUGUUUGAACUCAGCCAACUGUUGGGACUGUGACAUAUACCUGGACCAAGUUCCUAGGUGAUGUAACUCUCCAGCCUGGGCCUUACCACAGGGUACAUUGUGACAUAUCUUUGGACUUAUCACCUAUGUGAUGUGACUCUACUGACUUGCCUUGUCUUGGCCUCCAUUGGGGAUUGUGGCAUAUUUCUGUGCCCAGUACCUAAGUUAUGUGACUCUUCUUUCCUGCUUGUGCAUUUAGAAGGGAUUGUGACAUAUUGCUGGGCCAAGAACCUAGGUGAUGUGACUCUCCUGCCUUGGCCCUGCCUUCAGGAAAAAUUGUGAUGUGACUCUGGGUUUAUUACCUAGAUGAUGUGACUCUUGUGUUCUGCAUGGGCAAGCCCAAAGGGGUCAUUGUGGCAUAUCUCUGGGCACAUCAAAGAAGUGGUGUAAUUUUUCUCUCAUUCCAGGACUCUAGUCUCAGUAGGGAUUGUGACAUAUCACUGGGCCCAUAACCUAUGUCAUGUGAUUCUAGUAUCCUGCUUGGGCCCUGCUUACAGGAAAGAUUGUGACAUUUGGCUGGGCCCAUCACCUAGUUAAUGUGACUCUCCUUUUCUUCCUGUGCCCUGCCCUCAGUGGAGAUUGUGACAAAUUUCUGGGCCAAUCAGCUGUGCAAUAUGACUCUGCUCUUUCCUGGGCCCUGCUAUCGGGGAGCAUUGUGACAUAUUGCCAGGCUCAGCACCUAGGUAAUGUGACUCUUCUUGCUGCCUGGGCCCUACUUACAGAAGGGAUUUUGAUGUAUUGCUGAACCAAGAAUUCAGAUGAUGUGACUCUCCUGCCUGUGCGCUGUCUACAGUGGGCAUUGUGACAUAUCAUUGGUGAUGUGACUCUCCUGCCUUGUUCCUGCCCACAGGUGAAAUUGUGGCAUAUACCUGGGUCCAGAUCACAGGCACAAUGAUGACUCUCUUACCUGGACACAGCCAGUGGGAAAUAUUUUGACUUUUGUAGCCAGGCUUAGGGCCACAGGUGGUUUGGUGACUCUCAAACCAUGAUUCAGCAGACCUGUGAGGCUGUGAGUUCCCUAUCAGAACACAAUCUGCAGGUUGUAUUGUGCCAUAUACCUGGGACCAAAUUACAAGCACAAUGAUGAAUCUUUUACCUGGAGUCAAGACAUGGGCAGGAUGAUGGAACUUAUCACUGGACCUUUCCACAGUGUUAUUGUGACAUAUGCCUUUGCCCAACAUGUGGUGAUUUGACUCCCCAGACUGGGUCCAGUUCACAAAUAAAAUUGUGCCGUAUACUUGGCCAAGAACCUAA